rnacentral:rRNA from 1 species
UACAGAGGUCCCAAGCGUUGUUCGGAUUCACUGGGCGUAAAGGGUGCGUAGGCGGUCGGGUAAGUCUGAUGUGAAAUCUCACAGCUUAACUGUGAAACUGCAUUGGAUACUAUCCGGCUAGAGGAAUGGAGGGGAGACUGGAAAACUUGGUGUAGUAGUGAAAUGCGUAGAGAUCAGGAGGAACACCGGUGGCGAAGGCGGCCCACUGGGCUGUCACUGACGCUGAGGCGCGAAAGCUCGGGGAGCGAACGGG